GCCCUAGUAACGGCGAGUGAAGCGGCAACAGCUCAAAUUUGAAAUCUGGCGUCUUCGGCGUCCGAGUUGUAAUUUGCAGAGGGCGCUUUGGCAUUGGCAGCGGUCCAAGUUCCUUGGAACAGGACGUCACAGAGGGUGAGAAUCCCGUACGUGGUCGCUAGCCUCUACCGUGUAAAGCCCCUUCGACGAGUCGAGUUGUUUGGGAAUGCAGCUCUAAAUGGGAGGUAAAUUUCUUCUAAAGCUAAAUACUGGCCAGAGACCGAUAGCGCACAAGUAGAGUGAUCGAAAGAUGAAAAGCACUUUGGAAAGAGAGUUAAAAAGCACGUGAAAUUGUUGAAAGGGAAGCGCUUGCAGCCAGACUUGCCUGUAGUUGCUCAUCCGGGUUUCUACCCGGUGCACUCUUCUAUAGGCAGGCCAGCAUCAGUUUGGGCGGUUGGAUAAAGGUCUCUGUCAUGUACCUCCUUUCGGGGAGAACUUAUAGGGGAGACGACAUGCAACCAGCCUGGACUGAGGUCCGCGCAUCUGCUAGGAUGCUGGCGUAAUGGCUGUAAGCGGCCCGUCUUGAAACACGGACCAAGGAGUCUAACAUCUAUGCGAGUGUUUGGGUGUCAAGCCCGAGCGCGUAAUGAAAGUGAACGGAGGUGGGAACCUUUCGGGGUGCACCAUCGACCGAUCCUGAUGUCUUCGGAUGGAUUUGAGUAAGAGCAUAGCUGUUGGGACCCGAAAGAUGGUGAACUAUGCUUGAAUAGGGUGAAGCCAGAGGAAACUCUGGUGGAGGCUCGCAGCGGUUCUGACGUGCAAAUCGAUCGUCAAAUUUGGGCAUAGGGGCGAAAGA
rnacentral:rRNA from 1 species